ACUCAUUCCUCCGCAGGUUUUCACCGAGACCUACAAAGAGCAGUCACCGACCGUGCCCAGACACCUUGGUGAGCAGGGACAGCCUGGUCGCACUGUUAUAGGAAAGGGGUCCCGAUCCAGACCCCAAGAGAGGGAUCUUGGAUCUUGCUCAAGAAAGAAUUCAGGGCGAGUCUGCGGUGCAAAGGAAAAGCAAGUUUAUUUAGAAAGUCAAGUGGUGAAAGAACAGCUACUCCAUAGACAGAAUAGGGCAUUCCCAAAAGUAAGAGGAGGAAUGCAUCCACCCUAGGUACAGUGCUUGUAUAUAUAUAGGAUAAAAAAAGAUCAUGGGGAGAUGUGCUCUGCUACAGGGUUUGUGAUAAAGGAUUCUUUUUUAAAAUUACCAAAUUUUGCAAGAAUCAAUAUUAUUAUCUUUGAAGCAAAAUUAGGAAUGCCUUUGUUCUCGAGAUAUCGGGAUAUCUGGACACUCCGAAGUUUGGGUUUGUUAGUAAACAUUAUUAAUCCAUUUCCUUAACUGUAAACAUCUAGAGGCUGGGAAUAGCCUUCUGGGAAUGCAAGUCCCAACUUCAUUUUCCUAGCCCUCACUCAAGAUGGAGUCGCUCUGGUUCAAAUGCCUGUGAUACCACCUCUCCAGGCUCCCGGGAUGUUUAAACAAGCCACUCCCAGAGAGGCGAUAUGAAAGGUGCAGGGCAGGCCCUGAGCCCUGGCCACAGGCGAUGCUUAAGCUGAGCCCUGAAAGGAGGAGUAGGAGUUCAGCAGGCAAGUUGUUAGAAGACUCGCAUUUCAAGCAGAAGGUCUGGAAAGACGUGCUGACUGAUCGGCAGGAGGCUGUGAGCUGUGGAUGAUACGGAGACUGCAGAAGCUGAGGCCAUGGAGCUAAGGCGGGCUCAGACUUCCUCCUGAGGGCAACAGGUUUUUAGCUGGGGAGGACCAUGACCAAAUCUGCCUUUCCCAGUCACCUCUCUGAUCUCUUUGAUGCAGUGUAGAUCUGUGCUUAGCAAACUCAGAAGGCCCUGUCACCACCAGGAAGGAAGAGACCCCACGACUGAGGGCAGUGGGCUAUGAGAUUUGUGACCCUUUCCUCUGCCUGCCUCUGCCCCUGCCCAUUGGGACCCUGCUGGACCAGGCAUCCAUCCUAUGGAAAUCUCCAUGAAGCGUCGACCUCCCUGCCCCCCAGGCAUUGGGUGAGUGGCAAGUGAGAGCUGCUCACAGGGCAUCAAAGGGGUUCAAAAUAGCACCCAAGGCCGGGCAUGAUGGCUCACGCCUGUAAUCCCAGUACUUUGGGAGGCUGAGGUAGGCGGAUCACCUGAGGUCAGGAGCUCAAGGCCAGCCUGGCCAACAUGGAGAAACCCCGUCUCUACUAAAAAUACA
rnacentral:lncRNA from 1 species